AAUAGAAGAAUUUAUUUUUAAAUUUAUUUAUAUAAAUUAAGAUUUGUAGUUUAGGGUCAGGCGAAUCCUGUGCCAGCCGCCGCGGUUAUACAGGAUGACCCAAUAAAUAUAAACAAAAUAAAAAUUAUUAUUUAUUUAGAAAUUAUAAUUUUAUAAGGUUAAAUUUUAAAAAUUAUGAUAUAAAUAUUUAGUGUUUAAUAAGUUAUAUAUAUGACUAGGAUUAGAUACCCUAUUAUAUUAAUAUAGAUUGGUAGUAAGUGAUAGACAUGAAACCAAAAGAGUUUGGCGGUAUUUUAAUCUAUUUAGAGGAAUUUGCCCUAUAAAGGAUACAACGCCAGUAUGUUACCCAAGUUUGUGAAGACAGUUUGUAUACCGCUAUCUUAAUAUAAUAUUUAAUAAUUAUUAUAGGGGCUUAUAGAGUUAAAAACGUUAGGUCAAGGUGCAGCUUAUACUUGGGUUUGAGGUGAAUUAUAUUAAUUUUAAUUUAACAAGUUUAGAUAAUGAAAUUUAUUUAGACAAGAAAGAUUUAAUAGUAAAUUUAUGAUAGCAUCUUAAAUUGAAUUUAGCUCUAAAAUAUGCACAUAUCGCCCGUCGCUCUCAUUUAAUGUUGAGAUAAGUCGUAACAAAGUAAAAGUACCGGAAGGUGCUUUU
rnacentral:rRNA from 1 species